GAUGAACGCUGGCGGCGUGCCUAAUACAUGCAAGUCGAGCGAACAGACGAGGAGCUUGCUCCUCUGACGUUAGCGGCGGACGGGUGAGUAACACGUGGAUAACCUACCUAUAAGACUGGGAUAACUUCGGGAAACCGGAGCUAAUACCGGAUAAUAUAUUGAACCGCAUGGUUCAAUAGUGAAAGACGGUUUUGCUGUCACUUAUAGAUGGAUCCGCGCCGCAUUAGCUAGUUGGUAAGGUAACGGCUUACCAAGGCGACGAUGCGUAGCCGACCUGAGAGGGUGAUCGGCCACACUGGAACUGAGACACGGUCCAGACUCCUACGGGAGGCAGCAGUAGGGAAUCUUCCGCAAAGGGCGAAAGCCUGACGGAGCAACGCCGCGUGAGUGAUGAAGGUCUUCGGAUCGUAAAACUCUGUUAUUAGGGAAGAACAAAUGUGUAAGUAACUAUGCACGUCUUGACGGUACCUAAUCAGAAAGCCACGGCUAACUACGAG
rnacentral:rRNA from 1 species